rnacentral:lncRNA from 1 species
CCCAAAUGGGGCUUUGUGAAAAGCAUGCCUGAGAAAAAGCAUGAGAAGUAAUUCAUGCCAACUUUGAUCCAGGGCUCUGGGAUGCUGGGACAACAGAGGAAGGUGCUGGAUGCAUCAGAAAAAAUUUCCAUCGAUUAUUGGACUCUACGUUCUCUGGAUGAUUGGACGUGAAGUGGCUGCUGUCUCCACUGUAAUACUGGUAAAGGAGGAAUUUCCAUUUAUCACAUGCUCUUCUGCCUGGGAACCAAUAUACAGUAUUGAUUCCAAGAUUAAAGGUAAGGGUUCUUUAAAAAAAAAAGUGUUUCAUAU